AACGUAGGUUCCGAGCGUUAUCCGGAUUUACUGGGCGUAAAGCGCGUUCAGGCGGUUUGGCAAGUCGGGCAUGAAAUCUCUCGGCUCAACCGGGAGAGGUUGUCCGAUACUUCCAGACUUGAGGGCAGUAGAGGGUGGUGGAAUUCCGGGUGUAGUGGUGAAAUGCGUAGAGAUCCGGAGGAACACCAAAGGCGAAGGCAGUGUCCUGGGGAGUACCUGACGCUCAGGUGCGAAAGCCAGGGGAGCGAACGGG
rnacentral:rRNA from 1 species